CGAAAUAUGUUUUGCUUCAAAUUUAAGGACACAAGUCAAAUUGGGACGCAAAAUAUAGCUUCAUAAAGAUGUAAACUAAUUUGCUAUCAAGAUAAUAAGUUGAGGACCAGUAAUGCAAUAUUUCUAAGUAAUUAAUUGCGAAGAUACCUGUGUCCCACGGCAUUUAGAAAAAAUGCUCAAAGGUUACAGCCUUUGAAAACAAUAUCACUCUGAACCUUGAUUUAUCA
rnacentral:lncRNA from 1 species